ACCUCUGUGACGACAUUCUCACACGUGUUUGUAGUCAUGUUAUAGACUGGCGCAGGAGGUGAAGUAAAACUACACUGAUUUAGCACUCCGGUGUUGUCACGACACAGUAAUGGUACGGACAGCUGAGGUGUGAACAAUAGAGAUGUGUUGAAACUUCCAGAUCUUGCUGAUGAAUUUGAAGUUGUGUUUCGCGAGAGUAAAAACGCCUGUGGAGACUAGAGAAUAUAGUAACAAUAGAUUACUGAACCUAUAUAGAAUUCAUGUAAUUUACAGGAUAUCCCAAAAAAUGCAAUACUGUAGCUGUAUUCCAGAAAUGAGAGAGUUUACGAUUCACAACGCGGCUA
rnacentral:lncRNA from 1 species